CUUGAGCGAGCCCAGCCGCAGCGGUCGCGCGGGAUCACGGUCCUGCCCGUAGGUGGCGAGCAGCGCGUGUGCCUC
rnacentral:antisense_RNA from 1 species